CUCGUGGUCUACUGCCAUUUCCUGGUAAUACAGUACACGUUAUUUACAGUAUAGUCCAGUAUUGUGAGGUAUUGCCUUCUCCACACAGUUGUGUGCGUUUUCUGCAACAUGUCGUGAGAGAAAUGAAAAAGAAGUGAUCCGCCAACCGCGAACUUUACUUUCUAAGCCGCGCUCCUUUACGCACUUUGCGUUGUGACGCACGUUUGACCAACAGUGUCUCCAGUUCGGCGUUGGUGCAGCUGGAGGUGGUGCUUCACAGGCGAGGUAAAACAAGGAUGGAGCGCGUCCUGAUACUUGUGGUGAUGUUAGCGGGAGGAAUUCAUGCUCUUUUUCCAGUGUUGGACACUAACUGCGAUGCUACCCGGGGCACCACCUCGUGCAAUGCUACGUCUGGAGGGUCUGUGUACAUCCAGGUGAUGUCCAACGUUAGUGGCCACAUGGUGCACUGUAAGAUGAACAUGGGGUCCACCAAGGUUUUCACCAUGAAAAAGGAAGCGGUGAAGAUGCACAGGGACAAUGCCGAGUUUUUCAUCAGCAACGGGACGCUGAAGCUCACAAACCUGACCAAGAACGACACGGGCCAAUACAGAUUUGAUAUCUACGAUCACAAUGGGGUCCUCCAGCGAAACACCACGGUUCAUCUGCACGUUCAAGACUCACAGUUCAUGCUGAUCCUCAUACUGGUCAUUGCUUGUGCAACGUUUCUACUGCUGGUGAUUCUGCUAAUUAUCUGCAUUUGUUGUAAGAUGUCAGCAGCGAGAAAGCAAAAACGCACAACUGUAUACUCUUAUUGAGUUCAAACAUCUACCAUGAGGCUGGUGGUUAAUGAAAGUCUCCAGGAACCAGCAGCAACAGGUGCUCAGGUCAAAGGUCAAAGAGAGAUAAAUAGUCAAGUCAUUGUAAACGAAACAUGUCGUCUAAUGCAUUGAGCUGUAUCACUGUGUAUCUGUAUUAACAUUAAUGAGCUUCUGAUACGAACACACUCCGUGUGUUUAAAACUAAAUAUGAAUUAUUGUUCUAUCACCUAAAUAUGUGUGAUAAAGUAAUUGCAUUUUAACUUUUAAUGUAAAUAAAAUGUACAUACUGUAUAAUUUUAUAUGAGGA
rnacentral:lncRNA from 1 species